rnacentral:rRNA from 1 species
UGGGGAAUAUUGCGCAAUGGGCGAAAGCCUGACGCAGCGACGCCGCGUGAGUGAUGAAGGCCUUCGGGUCGUAAAGCUCUGUAGGAUGGGGACGAACGCUCCCGGGGAAUAAUACCUCCGGGAUUUGACGGUACCUGUCCAGAAAGCACCGGCUAACUCCGUGCCAGCAGCCGCGGUAAUACGGAGGGUGCAAGCGUUGUUCGGAAUCAUUGGGCGUAAAGCGCGUGUAGGCGGGUUGGCAUGUCCGUUGUGAAAUCCCUCGGCUUAACUGAGGAACUGCAGCGGAAACUGCCAGUCUUGAGUACGGGAGAGGGAAGGGGAAUUUCCAGUGGAGUGGUGAAAUACGUUGAUAUUGGAGGGAACACCGGUGGCGAAGGCGCCUUCCUGGACCGUCACUGACGCUGAGACGCGAAAGCGUGGGGAGCAAACAG